rnacentral:lncRNA from 1 species
CUCCGAGGAUACUAAACGAACAGUGAUGGGGGGACGGCCUCUCGUUCUGUUGUCCCGCGGCGUCCUCGAAAAACUAAGGGCUUGGUCCGAGCAAGUCUUGCGCCCACCCCAGGCGUACCCCGGAAGUACAAGGGUAACUGUGGAAGGCGAGAUUUCCAUCGAAAGGACCGAAACGGAGUUGUGGAGCGGAAGUCACGAACCUCCUGAUAGGCGUAUUUCGCCGGUGCUUACAUACGCCUGAAUGAGCACCUACGACUUCAUGCGGAAAAUGUAGUGUGAGUGACUUAAGUCGAACGAAGCAUUUUAAGCUGCACACAAUAUGCGAGACAGAGCAACAGCGAUCGUUACGAAUCGGUCGUCGCUAGAGUGUGAGGCGCCAUGUGUUUCACGGGAAAAAGCGAAAUUUGAAGGUAGUCUCCUUCCAUCCCUCUGCGUUUCUUCUGGGGAAUAUUACCCAGGACAUCUUCUUCGAUAACCACCUCGCUCGCCUGCCCCGAGUUUUUGACAGUAUCGUGGAGUGUCCCGGAAGACCGACGCGAAACGGUCCCGACGCAUGAGGAACCCUGAAGAGUAACGGCCUGUAGUUGGGGUAGACUUACUGGGGCGUCAGUAUUUCCUGCACUGAAAACAUGCAGGAUUGUUUAUGCAGCAGAAAAGUGGUAAGUUACAACGGCCUCCAGAGUUUCUGGUCGCCAUACUAGUCGAUGUGCAGGCAGGUACGUUCAGAAUGAAGCAGGAGUGCAACGGAUGGCGGGAUUCACCACCCGCUAGUGUAAGAAAGCUGGGAAAUGCCGGCUCUGGGUGAGGCCGUUUGGUUCUCUCGAAACGCAAGACAGGAACCGCCGGCCAUUGUGUGGCAAGGUAUUUUUGGUAGCGCUGGAGGAACUGGAAAGCGGUGCUUCAACGAGAAAACAGGGGCAAAGCAGCCGCGUUAUCUCACCGUAAACGCGAGGAAGACG